UACGUAGGGUGCAAGCGUUGUCCGGAAUUAUUGGGCGUAAAGAGCUCGUAGGCGGCUUGUUGCGUCGACCGUGAAAACCUGUGGCUUAACUACAGGCUUGCGGUUGAUACGGGCAGGCUAGAGUUCGGUAGGGGAGACUGGAAUUCCUGGUGUAGCGGUGAAAUGCGCAGAUAUCAGGAGGAACACCGGUGGCGAAGGCGGGUCUCUGGACCGGUACUGACGCUGAAAUACGAAAGCGUGGGGAGCAAACAGG
rnacentral:rRNA from 1 species